GACGAACGCUGGCGGCGUGCUUAACACAUGCAAGUCGAACGGAAAGGCCCCCACCUUGGUGGGGGUGCUCGAGUGGCGAACGGGUGAGUAAAACGUGGGUGAUCUGCCCUGUACUUCGGGAUAAGCUUGGGAAACUGGGUCUAAUACCGGAUAGGACCAUGGUUUAGUGUCUCAUGGUGGAAAAAUUAUUGUUUUGGUGCAGGAUGAGCUCGCGGCCUAUCAGCUUGUUGGUGGGGUAAUGGCCUACCAAGGCGUCGACGGGUAGCCGGCCUGAGAGGGUGGACGGCCACAUUGGGACUGAGAUACGGCCCAGACUCCUACGGGAGGCAGCAGUGGGGAAUAUUGCACAAUGGGCGCAAGCCUGAUGCAGCGACGCCGCGUGGGGGAUGACGGCCUUCGGGUUGUAAACUCCUUUCGUUAGGGACGAAGCCACACCUUGUUUGGGUGUGGUGACGGUACCUUUGGUAAGAAGCACCGGCUAACUACGU
rnacentral:rRNA from 1 species